rnacentral:rRNA from 1 species
UACAGGGGGUGCAACCGUUGCUCGGAAUCAUUGGGCGUAAAGCGCACGUAGGCGGUUCGUUAUGUCGGAUGUGAAAGCCCUUGGCUUAACCGAGGAAGUGCAUCCGAAACUGGCGAGCUAGAGUACGAAAGAGGAUCGCGGAAUUCCCGGUGUAGAGGUGAAAUUCGUAGAUAUCAGGAGGAACACCGGUGGCGAAGGCGGCGACCUGGGUAGAUACUGACGCUGAGGCGCGAAAGCGUGGGGAGCAAACAGG